ACGACGCUCUCGCUAAGCUUGACUCAAGAUGGCCGCUAUUUAAACGCGCGAAACUAUCCGUUGCUUUCUCAUUCACAGUGGCCGAAUUUUAAGGUGCUAUACUGUUGAAUUUGAUUGAGUCCCAUUUGUCUUUCACAGGUGAAAGAGCAACUAUGGAUUCGUCGUCGCUCGUCGAAGCCCCGCGUCGAAUAGAUUUCGGUGCGGCUGACAAAGAACGGGAAAGCCUACCCGUUUAUUUGCGAAUCAAACCGAUUCAAGAGGAAGACCUUUCAAUCAAAGUGAUCGAUGCAACGACAGUCGAGACCAACCAUGCCGGGCGAGCAAAUAAGAAAGCCACGUUUACGCACAUUUUUUCUGGGACGGUUACUCAGGAGGAGGUUUUCAACGUAACCACAGCGUCCUUAGUGGACAAGUUUCUUGACGGUGCUAAUGUGAUGACUUUCGCGUAUGGUGUGACAUCGUCGGGUAAAACCUAUACCAUCAUGGGUGAGCGUUCAGAUCCCGGCGUUGUGCCCCGUACACUGGAAAAGAUUUUUGGAUCUUACAAAUCAAAAAUAAAGAGGUCGGUGCCCACUUACAAGCCGAAACUUUUUGAAGCCGCACAGGAGCUCACGUCGGCAGAGAUCGAGGAAUUGGAGCGCAUUAAGAGCUCACUUUUGACAAAAGGAAAAGGCGGCCCUAUCGGUUUCGAUCAGUAUGCGUUUGCUAACAUGACACGCGAUGCAUCUGAAUCGCCCACGAACACUACUAUCAAUGGAGCGGACUCAUGCUCCGUGUGGAUCUCUGUAUAUGAGAUUUACAAUGAAAUUAUUAGCGACCUACUGGAUGUAGCUUCAAGGAACAAACGUAAGGGGUUGAUGGUCGGACAGGACACUAAGGGACAAACUUUUGUGAAAGACCUUAUACAACUACCUGUUAAUUCAGCUGCUGAGGCCUUCGGGCUUCUGCAGAUAGCAAAGCAAAACCUUGCUAAGGCAUCAACCAAGUUGAACGACGCGUCGUCCCGUUCGCAUAUGGUAUUCACUGUUAAGAUGGUGCAUUGGGGUCUCGCUUUAGCUGAACCACUAGUAAACCAGUUUGUCAUUAGCGAUUUAGCCGGUAGUGAGAGACAGAGUAAAACCGGUACGACGGGCGUCAUUUUGAGGCAAGCGAGUGCAAUUAAUGGCUCCUUGCUUGUACUCGGCCGCUGUCUCGAAGCGUUACGCAAAAAAGACAAGGGCAUCUCGGCACCCUUCCGAGAUUCAAAGUUGACACGGAUGCUAAAUCCGUUCUUCACACUUGGUGGAUACGUAAGCCUUAUUAUAUGUAUAAACCCGCAUAUCUACCUCCAGGACGAAACCAUGGACACAAUCCGAUUCUCGGCCAUUGCUUCUGAAAUCGUCCAGUUUUCGGAUCGUCCUCUCGAGCGAUUGAGGCAGCUUCGCCGACUAACUCAGGGAUGCGUGGACAACAGUCCAUUGAAGGUCGGAUCAGUCGACGAUACGGAGGUCGAGUCCUGGCAAGAUGCAGUACAUCGUAAACUAGUGCGUCAGGGUGUAUCUUACAUCGAGGUGAAGGCGUCCUAUUUCAAUGACAUGGCUCGGGAUAUUUUACGGGCGGAAAAAAUGCUUGUCUCAAACGAAGAGGAGAUAAUGCGACUAAAGGAACGCCUUAAACAAGAGGACGAGGCAAAGGAAAAUAUUCACUUCAUGUACCAGGACAGAAUGAAAGAACAACGGGAUAAGUUCCUCAAGGAGAAGGCAGCGCUUCGAGAAAUGUAUGAGGAGGACCAGGAGGUAACAGUAGGAGAACUCGAGGAGCAGAUUCAAAUCUACAAAGAGAAAUACAUGAAGUAUAGGGAAGGGUACGCAAAAACAAGUGAAUACUUGAAGGAAAAAUUAUGGCCCGAACUGUACAUGUUCCGCGACCGCUUUGGCUACUUACCGGAAUUCCCUCCAGCCGACGGCUGUGACGACCGCGACGAAGAACAGCCACGACCCGAAAACACCAUUAGCUAUUGGCAGAACAAACUGCACGAAAAAGACGACGAACUUCGCGCAAUGAGGAAAAACCUCAACCAAGCAGUUGAGGAUGGAGCAUGCUUACGUCGGGAGUUAGUUGAGUUGGAACAAGCGCGGGAAAUCGCUGAGAACGACGCGAAAGACUCCAAAAAGGCCCUAAAAGAGCAAGCAUCCCUCAACGAACAGCUCAUGGACCAGACCAGAACCCUUCAAGCCGAGUUGACUGAUAGGGAGACGCUGGUUGACCAGGUUGCCGAAUUGAAGAGAGCUGCACAGAAUGCCGAGGAGAAUCACGAGUGUUUUAUAGUAGAUACACGCAUACAAAUCGAUAACCUACAAGCUGAACUGGAAUCCCUUAAAGCCGAGCUUCGUGAGAAAGAUAAGGACCUAGAAGAAUCUGCCCUGAAGGAAGACCUGGCUUUGCAGAAGCUCAGUUCAUUGCAAAAGGUUGUUGAGCGUUUAGAAGAACAAGUGGCAUCGAAAAGUGGCGAAAUUUCACUGCUGCAAGAAAUAAAUGCAGAAAAGGCCUUGCUUUCCGAACAGAUAGUUACUCUAGAAAGUCAACUGAAGGCAGCACGCGAGUCACUGAUAUCCGCGCGGGCGGACAUGGUAACCAUGCAAGAAGAGUUAGAAGCGGUUUCUGAGCGAGAACAAGAGCUCGCCGACCGUGAAGCACAGGUUACAGUCAGGCUUCGUGAAUUGAGAAGAUCUAGGGCAGCCGACCAGCAGCACGUGAACGCUUUAGAAGAAAUACGAGAUUUGCGCGAGAGACUAAAUCAGCAGCAAGAAGAGUUGGCUAAAGCGGCCGCCAUAAGACAGGCACAGAAUGACGAGUUGGAGCAACUUCGAGAAAAGGCGGAGUCAUUUGAAGCACUGGCGUUACAGCUGCAGAAAGUAUCGGAAGAGAGUAGGGAGUUCCGAGACCGCGUUCGUUGUCUCGAGGGAGAGAAACGCCGACUCGACGACGAGGUUAAAAGAACUCGUGCUCUAGAAGUUGAAAUUGAGUUUCUGACACACAAACUCGACAACCAGCAGCGCCGGGUAUUGCGCGACUGUCCUCAAACCGAAAAGCCAAGAAGGCGUCGCUCACUUUCGGUGACCGACGCCGAUAAUGACUCUGCGAGCAGAACUCUAAUAAUAAAGGGUGUCCCCAAAUCAGAAAAGCCACGACGACGACUAAGGUUAGGAGACGAAGAAAAUAUCUUGGACAAAACCCUUGACGGUACCAUAAGGGACCUCUCGCCGCUCCCGACACCUUACCGCACCCGCUCUAACAGGAAAAAAGCUCAAUACUUGGAUCACUGGCGAUAUCUUUUCAUUUACCCAUAUUUCGGUGCAGCUACGACAUUAACUACCCGUUCAACUUAGGAGAUAGGAUUAACCGAAUGGCCGAAGCCUGUCGACGUGCAGCAAGUUAACACACAGAAAUAACAGAACAUUGUCGCAUGAUUAUUAAAGCUUGUUGCAUAGUCCGGAUGCCCAACGCUCAUGUGCUUGCUCAUUCUGGCUAGUUAGUUCAUCAGGACUAAAUGACACAAACUAACUAAUAUACAUAUUCAUCCCUUUAGCAGCCGGAUUCCUCUAUUGAGCCGUCAUGUUGUUCGAACGCGCGUAGUUUAGGCGCUCGAAAUGUACGCAAAUUUUCUAUAGACAGGAAAUACGCACAUCAAUGCAGCUAUAAUGUAUCCGGCAUGUUCAAGAAUGGAUUUAUACUAACGUUGAGCUAUAGAGAAAUGAGCGAAUAUCUGACCUGUGAGCAACUUUGUGCCGCUCCUUUGGGUCGCAGAAGUUGAGAGAAGAAAGCAGAGAAGGCCGAAAUCGACCGCAAAACGGGCUCGAAUUGACCCAGUUAAUAAGCUGAAAGG